rnacentral:rRNA from 1 species
AUUGAACGCUGGCGGAAUGCUUUACACAUGCAAGUCGAACGGCAGCACGGGGGCGAACCCUCGGUGGCGAGUGGCGAACGGGUGAGUAAUACAUCGGAACGUGCCCACGUCGUGGGGGAUAACGUAGCGAAAGCUACGCUAAUACCGCAUACGAUCUCUGGAUGAAAGCGGGGGACCGCAAGGCCUCGCGCGAUUGGAGCGGCCGAUGGCAGAUUAGGUAGUUGGUGGGGAAAGGCUCACCAAGCCGACGAUCUGUAGCUGGUCUGAGAGGACGACCAGCCACACUGGGACUGAGACACGGCCCAGACUCCUACGGGAGGCAGC